AUAUUAAAAGUCAAUAAAAUAAAUGAUAUCUACGUGUGUGUGACACAUUUCAGCCCCAAUUUGAGGGUGUUGAUUGUGAAUGAUCUUAGGUACGAGUACGAGUGAUAAAAAUGGGUUGGGACGCAAAAUGAUUUGCUUGCUGUCAGCAAAUGGACCCCGAAAGCAGGGAAUCCAUUUUCCACUGGAACAUCCCACAUCCCACCCUUCACUGUAUCCACCAUCACUCUUCCUCUAUUUCUCUCUUGUCUGGUGACUACCGUUGAAUAUCCUUAGCCCAAAAAGAAAAAAGAAAAAAGAAAAAGAAUAUCCUUAGCAUACAUAGCCUUUAACAUGUAUAAUCCGAACCCAGACUCCCGUUACACGACCCGGAGACUUCACCCGCAAGAAGAUCCAAAUAGCACUCCAAACCCUCAGGUUCCGCUUCGGAACCUGUCCCUGGUUCGGACAAGAAUCGAUUCUCUACGAACCUUCUUAUCCCAAUCCAUCAACACAAACACUCCCCUCACCACCGAUCACAUAACCCUCGUCUCCAACCAGAUCGUCUCCGCCAUCCACAAUACCAUAGUCAACGCCGCCGCCCUCGUCUCCUACUCUGAAAAUCUCACCGUUCCCGGACCCUCUGUCUUCCCACCAUUAAAACUCAAACCAGAACCCUCCGCCGUGGACAAAACCAACCAUCAGAAGUCCGAUUCGAGAAUCGAACCCGCCGAAGACGACGACGACUACCUCGUCGACGAAGAUUGCGAAAUCGUGGAGCUCGACGCCGUGGAAUUGCUAGCAGAACACAUCCACUUCUGCGAGAUUUGCGGGAAAGGUUUCAAGCGCGACGCGAAUCUCCGGAUGCACAUGCGGGCGCACGGGAACAAGUUCAAGACGCCGGAAGCUCUCGCGAAACCUAUAGACGACGGAGGACGCCGCCGCGCGACGCGGUUCUCUUGUCCUUUCCAAGGAUGUAACAGAAACAAGAUGCAUAUGAAGUUUAGGGCGUUGAAAUCGGUGGUUUGUGUGAAGAAUCAUUUCAAGAGGAGCCAUUGCCCGAAGAUGUAUUCGUGCAACCGGUGCCAUAAGAAGAAUUACUCGGUGUUAUCGGAUUUGAAGAGCCAUAUGAAGCAGUGUGGUGAGUGUAGGUGGAAGUGUUCGUGUGGGACCACUUUUUCUAGGAAGGACAAGUUGUUUGGACACGUUGCACUAUUUGAGGGUCACAUGCCUGAUUUUCUAUUUGAAGAUGAGGAGAAAGAGAAAGGGAAGCAAGUUAUGGUUGAGGAGAGUGAAGAAGAUCCUAUGGCCAUGACAUUUACCCAAGUUGAAUUGGGUAUGGAUGAAGAGUUUUUUGAUGAUUUUGGCUCUAUUGAUAACUAUUGUUUGAGGGAAGUCUUGGGAUUUCCUAAUGCUAACUAGUUUCAUAUGAUGAUUCAAACAUUAAACCCAUGCAUAUGUAUUCUAUACCACCAAAUAAUGUCUCAUAUUGUGCAGCAAUCAAGAUUAAAGAUAGGUUAUAAACACCUACUUUCUCAAUCCAUCGAGUGCCUUUUUUCUCAAUUGAUCGAGUUCCUUUUUAUACAGGACAAAAUUGUAAGGACUCACACCAGAAUAGUAACUUGAGGUUGGAGUAUUGGUGUUGCGCCAUUGCCGGUUGAUAAGUUGAAGACACAUCCAACACAUCUUUAAGCAUUUUUUAGACACAUCACUCCUUCCUGAACAAACAAGAAUAUAACUUUUUUUUGUUUAACGGUGUUGCUGAAAAUGGUGGUUUCUUUAGAAGCAUUGGCAAUGGCUGGCGCAAGUGGUGUGGAGUGUAGCAUAGAUAUUGAAGAAUGGGAACGCAAAGAUUUAGAGCAAUAUCCACCACCACAUUUGCUAGCCCAAGAAGAAGAAGAAGAGAAAAGUAGCAUUAAUAGAGCCAGAAGGUACACUGCUCAGGGCAAAGUAUAUGGCCUUCCUACCACUACAAGUCAUUUCCUUCCGAAUAAAAACAGCAAGAAGAAUGACAGAGAAAGUUUCACCUUCACCAAUCAUGGAGAAAAAUUAGUUAGAACUAUGGAAACUAGAAGGCCAGAAGAAUGCACGAGGUCGAUAAAAUUAAUUAUGACCAGAGUGCUUGCUAUGUUAAUCAUGAUCUUGGGCCAUAAUUAAGCACAAGAGGUUCUAACAAAUUCUAUGUUUUGUCCAAAUGUGUUUUGACAUUUUAUCAAUAUUGAAAACCAAACAUGUUAUUUACUGCAUCA